AACGGCUGAACCAGCAACUUGGAGGAAUGUAUAGCAUUAGCUACUUGCAUCAUUGCAAUGAUGAUGUAAGCUCGACUAUGUUGAAUAAAAUUCUAGGUAGAAUUAUGAUAAUGACAUUGUCUGCCUAUGUGUCUUGACCAAAUUACGUGCCAGCAGUCGCGGUAAUACGUAGAAGACUAGUGUUAUUCAUGUUUAAUCGGUUUAAAGGGUACCUAGACGGUAGAUCAAGCUUUCAAUUUCUUGAAUUAUAAAACAAAAUAAAACAAGAAGAGAAUUGACAGGAACUAAUUUACUAGAGUUACUUAUGAGGGGGUUUUAAAGUACUUAUGGUGUAGAGAUGAAAUUCUGUAAUACCAUUCUUAGAAUUAGGACAUAUGGCACAGGUAUAGGCGAAAGCAUCCCCUUAUGGGAUAACUGACGUUGAGGGACGAAGGCUUUUUGUAGCGAUCAGGAUUAGAGACCCUAGUAGUUGAAGCAGAAAAUGAUGAAUGUCAUAGAUUAGAUAUAUAAGUUUAUUCUAUAAAUGAAAGUGUAAGCAUUCCACCUCAAGAGUAAUUUGGCAACAUUGGAACUGAAAUCAUUAGACCGUUUCUGAAACCAGUAGUGAAGUAUGUUGUUUAAUUUGAUGAUCCGCAAAAAACCUUACCACAAUUUGAAUAUUUAUAUUUUAUUAUUGUUUUUUUAUUAUUUAUCUAUAUAAUCAUAUCACAAAUAUGAUUAAGAAAAUUAAUGAAGAGGCAAUAACAUAUAUUUACAAGCGUUGCACGGCUGUCUUCAGUUAAUGUCGCGAGACUCUGGUUAGUUCCAUUAAAUUAACGUAAACCCUUACUUUAUUUUUAUAUAAAGUAGUUCCCCGCUAUAUUGGAUCUGAU
rnacentral:rRNA from 1 species